rnacentral:lncRNA from 7 species
AGUUCCUCCCAGGCUUCUCAGAACAGGGCAGGCCUGCGGGCUGCAUCAGGCCCCACGGCUGCCUCCAGGAGCCCCAGCCUGGCUCAGGGCUCACAAGGCAUCACCCACUGUUCACCCCUUCCCUGCUCUAUGGGAAGCAGAAGUAGGUGAAAGCAAGGCCAUGAGAGCAGCAGGAGGCACUGAGAGGGACGCCUCGCAGAGGCAGGCCGCCGCUUCUCAUCGCCUCACAGGCUGUGUGGGUGUCAGGAUGCUGCUCAGGCUGCACUGGAGGUCAUCUGAACGGGACACAGUGAGCAGCACCAUGAGUGACAUCACAAUCCUGCAGAGUCACACUGUCUGCCCCAUCACGUGCUGUGUGUCAGUAGGUGCUGGUGGAGCAUUCCUGCUGCGUGCCAGGCCCGGGGAUGGGCAGGAUGCUGCUCCAGGUUGCCUGGCUUCCACCCGCUCCUAGCAGCUGAAGUGGCACUGCUGCUUGUAAUGACACGGCAUCGGAAAUCCCCAACAUGCAAUUGCACGAGAAGGUCACAGCUCAGUCAGAGCAGCGCAUUAAACAUUAAACGCUCCAUUUGUACGCACUCGUGGCCUCAUGCCAAGAUGAAUUCGAAAUGAUUAAAUCUCCAACCGUGUCGGCUUCUUUCACAACAAC